rnacentral:rRNA from 1 species
GUGCUGCAUGGCUGUCGUCAGCUCGUGUCGUGAGAUGUUGGGUUAAGUCCCGCAACGAGCGCAACCCUUAUCAUUAGUUGCUACGCAAGGGCACUCUAAUGAGACUGCCGGUGACAAACCGGAGGAAGGUGGGGAUGACGUCAAGUCCUCAUGGCCCUUAUGGGUAGGGCUUCACACGUCAUACAAUGGUCGGUACAGAGGGUUGCCAAGCCGCGAGGUGGAGCCAAUCCCAGAAAGCCGAUCGUAGUCCGGAUUGUUCUCUGCAACUCGAGAGCAUGAAGUCGGAAUCGCUAGUAAUCGCGGAUCAGCAUGUCGCGGUGAAUACGUUCCCGGGUCUUGUACACACCGCCCGUCACACCAUGGGAGUGGAAUCUGGCAGAAGUAGGUAGCCUAACCGCAAGGAGGGCGCUUACCACGCUGGGUUUCAUGACUGGGGUGAAGUCGUA